rnacentral:rRNA from 1 species
UACGGGGGGAGCAAGCGUUGUUCGGAUUUACUGGGCGUAAAGGGCGCGUAGGCGGUCGUGACAAGUCACUUGUGAAAUCUCCGGGCUUAACUCGGAACGGUCAAGUGAUACUGUCGGACUAGAGUACAGAAGGGGCAACUGGAAUUCUCGGUGUAGCGGUGAAAAUGCGUAGAUAUCAAGAGGAACACCUGAGGCGAAGGCGGGUUGCUAGGCUGACACUGACGCUGAAGCGCGAAAGCCAGGGGAGCAAACGGG